UACAGAGGGGGCAAGCGUUGUUCGGAAUUACUGGGCGUAAAGGGCGCGUAGGCGGCCUGUUAAGUCGAACGUGAAAUCCCCGGGCUCAACCCGGGAACUGCGUCCGAUACUGGCAGGCUUGAAUUCGGGAGAGGGAUGCGGAAUUCCAGGUGUAGCGGUGAAAUGCGUAGAUAUCUGGAGGAACACCGGUGGCGAAGGCGGCAUCCUGGACCGAGAUUGACGCUGAUGAGCGAAAGCUAGGGGAGCAAAACGGG
rnacentral:rRNA from 1 species